GGAUUUGUUACGCGUUGUUUAUCAAGUGUGGGCAAUUUAUGAGGUGCAUUUAAAAUGAAGUACUAAUGAGCCAGAAUGUUGAACUGGGCCUAAUUUCAACUGCUUUCAUUUUAAUAUACUGCUCUGAAUUAAGGUUACACAAUUCAAACUUGGGUUCAAACUCAGUGGAGAAAUGUGAAGUACAUGAACUAAUGAUACCACUGAAUGAAAAGAAACCAGUGCCAUACCUAUAAGUACAAAUACAUGGGUUAAAUGAU